UCGCUAUGAGGAACAAAUCCGUGCCAGAUGUUAGGUCUCAUUGAUCUAUCGGUGAAGGUUACACAACCUCUAAGAAGUUCUGAGCAA